rnacentral:rRNA from 1 species
CCUACGGGAGGCAGCAGUGAGGAAUAUUGGUCAAUGGCCGAGAGGCUGAACCAGCCAAGUCGCGUGAGGGAUGACGGCCCUACGGGUUGUAAACCUCUUUUGUCGGGGAGCAAAGAGAGUCACGUGUGGCUCAUUGAGAGUACCCGAAGAAAAAGCAUCGGCUAACUCCGUGCCAGCAGCCGCGGUAAUACGGAGGAUGCGAGCGUUAUCCGGAUUUAUGGGGGUAAAGGGGUGCGCAGGCGGAGGUGCAAGUCAGUGGUCAAAUAGCGGGGCUCAACCCCGUACUGCCGUUGAAACUGCAUCCCUUGAGUGCGCGAGAAGUAUGCGGAAUGCGUGGUGUAGCGGUGAAAUGCAUAGAUAUCACGCAGAACUCCGAUUGCGAAGGCAGCAUACCGGCGCGCAACUGACGCUCAUGCACGAAAGCGUGGGUAUCGAACAGGAUUAGAUACCCGUGUAGUC